rnacentral:rRNA from 1 species
AGAGUUUGAUCAUGGCUCAGAAUGUACGCUGGCGGCACGCCUAACACAUGCAAGUCGAGCGAGGUACUUGUACCUAGCGGCAGACGGGUGCGUAACAUGUGGGAAUCUGCCUUUUGGUUCGGAACAACACGGGGAAACUUGUGCUAAUACCGGAUAAGUCCUAACGGAGAAAGAUUUAUCGCCGAAAGAUGAGCCCGCACUAGAUUAGCUUGUUGGUAAGGUAAAAGCUUACCAAGGCUACGAUCUAUAGCUGAUUUGAGAGGAUGAUCAGCCACACUGGGACUGAGACACGGCCCAGACUCCUACGGGAGGCAGCAGUGGGGAAUCUUGCACAAUGGAGGAAACUCUGAUGCAGCGAUGCCGCGUGAGUGAAGAAGGCCCUUGGGUUGUAAAGCUCUUUUGUCGGGAAAGAUAAUGACUGUACCCGAAGAAUAAGGUCCGGCUAACUUCGUGCCAGCAGCCGCGGUAAUACGAAGGGACCUAGCGUAAUUCGGAAUUACUGGGCGUAAAGCGCGCGUAGGCGGUUAAGUAAGUUAAUUGUGAAAGCCCAAAGCUCAACUUUGGAAUUGCAAUUAAAACUACUUAGCUAGAGUUUAUCAGAGGAAAGCGGAAUACAUAGUGUAGAGGUGAAAUUCGUA